AUUGAACGCUGGCGGCAGGCUUAACACAUGCAAGUCGAGCGGGGGAAGGUAGCUUGCUACUGGACCUAGCGGCGGACGGGUGAGUAAUGCUUAGGAAUCUGCCUAUUAGUGGGGGACAACAUCUCGAAAGGGAUGCUAAUACCGCAUACGUCCUACGGGAGAAAGCAGGGGAUCUUCGGACCUUGCGCUAAUAGAUGAGCUUAAGUCGGAUUAGCUAGUUGGUGGGGUAAAGGCCUACCAAGGCGACGAUCUGUAGCGGGUCUGAGAGGAUGAUCCGCCACACUGGGACUGGGACACGGCCCAGACUCCUACGGGAGGCAGCAGUGGGGAAUAUUGGACAAUGGGGGGAACCCUGAUCCAGCCAUGCCGCGUGUGUGAAGAAGGCCUUAUGGUUGUAAAGCACUUUAAGCGAGGAGGAGGCUACUCUAGUUAAUACCUAGGGAUAGUGGACGUUACUCGCAGAAUAAGCACCGGCUAACUCUGUGCCAGCCGCCGCGGUAA
rnacentral:rRNA from 1 species